rnacentral:rRNA from 1 species
AACGAACGCUGGCGGCAUGCCUAACACAUGCAAGUCGAACGAUUAUGGAACUAGCUUGCUAGUGCCCAGAUAGUGGCAGACGGGUGAGUAACGCGUGGGAAUCUACCUAGUAGUACGGAAUAGCCGUUGGAAACGACGAAUAAUACCGUAUAUUCCCUGAGGGGGAAAGAUUUAUCGCUACUAGAUGAGCCCGCGUUAGAUUAGCUAGUUGGUAGGGUAAUGGCCUACCAAGGCAAUGAUCUAUAGCUGGUCUGAGAGGACGAUCAGCCACACUGGAACUGAGAUACGGUCCAGACUCCUACGGGAGGCAGCAGUGGGGAAUUUUGGACAAUGGGCGCAAGCCUGAUCCAGCAAUGCCGCGUGCAGGAAGAAGGCCUCGGUUGUA